rnacentral:rRNA from 1 species
UACGAAGGGGGCUAGCGUUGCUCGGAAUCACUGGGCGUAAAGCGCACGUAGGCGGAUUCCUAAGUCGGGGGUGAAAUCCCGAGGCUCAACCUCGGAACUGCCUUCGAUACUGGCGACCUUCGAGUCCGGGAGAGGUGAGUGGAACUCCGAGUGUAGAGGUGAAAUUCGUAGAUAUUCGGAAGAACACCAGUGGCGAAGGCGGCUCACUGGCCCGGUACUGACGCUGAGAUACGAAAGCGUGGGGAGCAAACAGG